rnacentral:rRNA from 1 species
ACCUAGCGGCGGACGGGUGAGUAAUGCUUAGGAAUCUGCCUAUUAGUGGGGGACAACAUUCCGAAAGGGAUGCUAAUACCGCAUACGUCCUACGGGAGAAAGCAGGGGACCUUCGGGCCUUGCGCUAAUAGAUGAGCCUAAGUCGGAUUAGCUAGUUGGUGGGGUAAAGGCCUACCAAGGCGACGAUCUGUAGCGGGUCUGAGAGGAUGAUCCGCCACACUGGGACUGAGACACGGCCCAGACUCCUACGGGAGGCAGCAGUGGGGAAUAUUGGACAAUGGGGGGAACCCUGAUCCAGCCAUGCCGCGUGUGUGAAGAAGGCCUUUUGGUUGUAAAGCACUUUAAGCGAGGAGGAGGCUACUAGUAUUAAUACUACUGGAUAGUGGACGUUACUCGCAGAAUAAGCACCGGCUAACUCUGUGCCAGCAGCCGCGGUAAUACAGAGGGUGCGAGCGUUAAUCGGAUUUACUGGGCGUAAAGCGUGCGUAGGUGGCUAAUUAAGUCAAAUGUGAAAUCCCCGAGCUUAACUUGGGAAUUGCAUUCGAUA